rnacentral:rRNA from 1 species
UGGCGGACGGGUGAGUAACGCGUGGAUAACCUGCCGUAUACCGGGGGAUAACACUUAGAAAUAGGUGCUAAUACCGCAUAAGCGCACGGCUCCGCAUGGGGCAGUGUGAAAAACUCCGGUGGUAUACGAUGGAUCCGCGUCUGAUUAGCUAGUUGGCGGGGUAACGGCCCACCAAGGCAGCGAUCAGUAGCCGGCCUGAGAGGGUGGACGGCCACAUUGGGACUGAGACACGGCCCAAUCUCCUACGGAAGGCAGCAG